rnacentral:misc_RNA from 1 species
GUCGUAACAAGGUUUCCGUAGGUGAACCUGCGGAAGGAUCAUUUUCGAUGCCCCGACCGAGCUAAACCCGUGCACCCGUUACAAAUCCCGGGGAGGUCGUAGUUGCCUUUGCAGCUCGAAUACUCCACGAAAUGUGGUGGCAUGAAUGCCCUAUGGCAUGCAGUCCCUACAGAAACAACAAACCCCGGCGCGGAAAGCGUCAAGGAAUUAACAAACGUACGGUGCGUCCCAUCGGGCCCGGAAGCGGUGGUCGAUGGGGCCGUGCCACUAUAGUUGAGUCUAGAAUGACUCUCGGCAACGGAUAUCUCGGCUCUUGCAUCGAUGAAGAACGUAGCGAAAUGCGAUACUUGGUGUGAAUUGCAGAAUCCCGCGAACCAUCGAGUCUUUGAACGCAAGUUGCGCCCGAAGCCAUUAGGCCAAGGGCACGCCUGCCUGGGUGUCACCAAUCGCCUCCCCAACUCGGUGCCACCGGCGCGGAUGCGGGGUGAAUGAUGGCCUCCCGUGAGCAGCGGCUCGCGGCUGGUUGAAAACGCCAUCCGUGCCGCCUUACGGCUCCGUGACACUUGGUGGUUGAGUUUAGAUCUCGAGGCCAGUCAUGGGUGCCCACGGCGGCUCUGGAAAACGGUGACCCGUCAGCGGCAUACGUCGCUCAUGAUGCGACCUCAGGUCAGGCGGU